rnacentral:rRNA from 1 species
UCAAAAACAUGUCUGUAGGAUUUGAAUCUACAGUCUGGCCUGCCCCCUGUCGUAAGAUAAAGGGCUGCGGUAUCUUGACCGUGCAAAGGUAGCAUAAUAAUUUGUCUUUUAAUUGGAGGCUGGAAUGAACGGUCCGAUGAGGGAUGAACUGUCUCUCCCUUAAAUUUUGAAUUUAACUUUUUAGUGAAAAGGCUGAAAUGGCUUGAGGGGACGAUAAGACCCUAUAAAACUUUAUAUGUUUUUAAUUAGUUUGGAAUAUAUGUGAAACCCGGGAUAGAGAGAAACAUAUUUCGUUGGGGCGAUGUUGAUAUAAUUUGUAACUGUCUUAUAUAAUUAAAUAAUCAUGGUUAGUUUUUGGUCCUUUAAUAUGGAUUAAUAGAUCAAGUUACUUUAGGGAUAACAGCGUGAUUUUCUUUGAGAGUUCUUAUCGACAGGAGUAGUUGCGACCUCGAUGUUGAAUUAAAAUUUCAAGCUGGUGCAGCAGCUAGCUUAGUGGGUCUGUUCGACCUUUAAAAUUUUACAUGAUUUGAGUUCAAACCGGCGUGAGCCAGGUG